rnacentral:rRNA from 1 species
CAAGUCGAACGAUUAAACUUUCCUUCGGGAAAGAUAUAAAGUGGCGCACGGGUGAGUAACACGUAAGUAAUCUACCUUCGAGUGGGGAAUAACGUCCGGAAACGGACGCUAAUACCGCAUAACGCAGCGGCACCUAAUGGUGACAGUUGUUAAAGGAGCAAUUCGCUUGAAGAGGAGCUUGCGGCAGAUUAGCUAGUUGGUAAGGUAAUGGCUUACCAAGGCUUCGAUCUGUAUCCGGUCUAAGAGGACGGUCGGACACACUGACACUGAAUAACGGGUCAGACUCCUACGGGAGGCAGCAGUCGGGAAUUUUGGGCAAUGGGCGAAAGCCUGACCCAGCAACGCCGCGUGAAGGAUGAAGUAUUUCGGUAUGUAAACUUCGAAAGAAUGGGAAGAACUCAAUGACGGUACCAUUUAUAAGGUCCGGCUAACUACGUGCCAGCAGCCGCGGUAAUACGUAGGGACCAAGCGUUGUUCGGAUUUACUGGGCGUAAAGGGCGCGUAGGCGGCAAAUUAAGUCAUCUGUGAAAUCUCCGAGCUUAACUCGGAACUGUCAGGUGAUACUGAUCUGCUAGAGUGCGGAAGGGGCAAUCGGAAUUCUUGGUGUAGCGGUGAAAUGCGUAGAUAUCAAGAGGAACACCUGAGGUGAAGACGGGUUGCUGGGCCGACACUGACGCUGACAGCGCGAAAGCCAGGGGAGCAAACGGGAUUAGAUACCCCGGUAGUCCUGGCCUUAAACGAUGAAUACUUGGUGUCUGGAGUCUCUAUAGCUCCGGGUGCCGUCGCUAACGUUUUUAGUAUUCCGCCUGG